rnacentral:rRNA from 1 species
AUUGAACGCUGGCGGCAGGCCUAACACAUGCAAGUCGAGCGAGCGGCGGACGGGUGAGUAAUGUGUGUGGACUGCCCGAUAGAGGGGGAUAACUACAGGAAACGGUAGCUAAGACCGCAUACUAUCGGAUUACCCAGAUGGGAUUAGCUAGUAGGUGAGGUAAUGGCUCACCUAGGCGACGAUCCCUAGCUGGUCUGAGAGGAUGAUCAGCCACACUGGAACUGAGACACGGCCCAGACUCCUACGGAGGCAGCAGUGGGGAAUUUUGGACAAUGGGUGAAAGCCUGAUCCAGCCAUCCCGCGUGUAUGAUGAAGGCCUUCGGGUUGUAAAGUACUUUUGGCAGAGAAGCGGUAUCUGCAGAAUAAGCACCGGCUAACUACGUGCCAGCAGCCGCGGUAAUUC